UGCCGCGUUCCCGCUGUCGUUGGGGAGCCUCGCAUCCCCAGCCCGCGCUCCCCCCGAGCCUGCUGCAGCCUCUUCGGGGCCGUCAUUCUCAGGCGCGGUUUGUCAAGGCUGAAAACCUCCCAAAGAAAAGAUCCACGAGGUCAGAUCCCAUCCCACGGGGCGGGCGAGUGAAAUGCGCUGGUUUCCUUUUGUAAUCUGUUUUUCAUGACGCUGACAUUCACAGUCUUGGGGUUUCCCAGGAGGUAUUUGGGCUGAAAGCAGCAUUGUGCUUGUCUUCAGAGACCAAGACUUUCUGGCUCUUGCUUGGAAUAUUUCGCAAAGUCAUAGGCAGAACACAGGCAAACGCACAGACCCGAAGCACGGCGGGCCGCUCGCGGGGGACGGGCCAGGCGGUUAGCCCGGCGUGCCCCGGGCGGGAGGAGGGAACUGGGGUGCUCCCCCCCGGAGAACCCUGCUCUGGAAGUCCCCACCCCGCACAAUGCGCUGGAGAGGGGCAGUGAGUCAGCACCCCACCCCAGGUGGAUGGCCAUUUUGCCCAGCGCGCUCGACGCUGAGAUUGUCAGAUCGCAGUUUCUCUUUGCUUUCUGUGACUGGGAGGAUGGAAUGCGAUUGCUGGUAGAAAUCUUUGAGGUCGUUGGUCUGAAAGUGGAUUUAAUGAUAUGUUAAUUUAGGCAGAUGAGCGUCCGUGGGAAUGAUCUUCAAAAAGAAUUUAAAAUGGGAUAGCGAAGUCAUCGGCACCUGAGUCUAAACCAGGACUACCAGGCACGCCCAUGCCAGCUGGUUACCGAAGCAGGCCGAGUGAGGGGUGCACCUGGGCUUCUGCCUUGCAACCACCGUGGCUACUUCAAAAGAAUAUUAUUGCAUUAACUUUCCUGCUUGUUCUUGAGGGUUAGGGUUUCAAAAAUCGGAUGGGGUGAUACAUGCUUUAGUCAGUAUUUACACGGCUCCUUAAUCACUUCAUUGGACAAGUAGUUCAUUGAGCACCCACCGUAUACCACGCAGUGUUCAAGGCACUUCCAGUCAUUUCCUAAGGGUAACAGCUGCCCGUGGAUAAACUUCAAAGUGUACAGUUUUAUUGAGGUGAAGUGGAAAUACAGGAAACUACACGCAGAUUUUGGCAUAUCUGCGACGUGUACACCUGUGAAGCCAUCAUCACAAUCACGUUAGGGACUACAUCCAUCACCCAAAAAAGUGUUCUCAUGUCCUUUGGUAGUUCCUCCUCCUAAAUGUCCCCACUCCACCACGUAUCCCAGUCCAUAGAGAAAACCACUGACCAGAUUUAUAUCACUGUAGAUUUAUUUGCUUUUUCUAGACUUUCAUAUAAAAAAGAAUCAUACUGUAUGUAUACUUUUCUGUCUUUUCUUCACUUAAUGUUUACUUUCAGAAUCAUCUAUCUUGUUGCAGGUAUCGAUAAUGCAUUCCCGUUUAUUGCUCAGUAGUAGUCCACGGUAUGGGCACAACACAAUUUAUCAUUCACCUGUUGAGGGACAUUUUACUUGUUUCUAAAUUUUUACUAUUACAAAUAAAGCUGCUGUGGACA